rnacentral:rRNA from 1 species
CGGAGCGGGUGAGUAACACGUGAGCAACCUACCUUACACAGGGGGAUAGCCGUUGGAAACGACGAUUAAUACCGCAUGAGACCACAGAAUCGCAUGAUAUAGGGGUCAAAGAUUUAUCGGUGUAAGAAGGGCUCGCGUCUGAUUAGCUAGUUGGAAGGGUAAAGGCCUACCAAGGCGACGAUCAGUAGCCGGUCUGAGAGGAUGAACGGCCACAUUGGAACUGAGACACGGUCCAA